GUCGGGAGGGCGGCUAAUAAAAUACCCGCAAGGGGAAUACGCCCGCCGUCUGUGUGCGGUUUUGAGCCUCCCGACUUCCCGCC
rfam:Lysobacter gummosus strain 3.2.11, complete genome.